GUUUUUGGGCUGAAUCCCAUUAAAUCUGUCAUCGGCGCGUCGCCGGGUCGCCGUGCCGCUCGCUGUGGAUUGAAAUGACACUCGGCAGACAGAUUGCUGCCGUGUCUCGGUUUGUUUUCGUUUCUGUAGCAGGUUUUGUUUUUUUCUCGCCGUCAGAGCAGCAGCAGUCGGUUACAAAGGAGCAGGAAAACACAAGCUGUGACAGAAGAACGAGGAGACGGAGAACAGGAGGAGGGAGGAGGAGAAAAUGGAAAUGACCAGGACACUCAGAGGGACGGAGGAAAUUCAACACGUUCUGGAGUUUUUACAGUGCAGAUGGAUGACUUUUAUUUCAGGGAACGAAUCCAAACAGCAGAUUCAGAAAUCAGAUGGAGCUCCAUAUAUGACUGGAUUAAAUAUGGAGUCCCACAGGGAGACGGACUGGGAACCUUUUAAUUAGAGGGUUUUGCUGAUAAUCAUCUUCAUGUCUCUCCUCUGCUGAUGGGGGGAGGGAGUGCUGUCAUCGCCAUGGUAACGCCCCCCCUACCCUGCGGUCCGCUGGCCGUUGGUACGGCGACGGCUGGAGAGUUGAUUUGUGUGGAGAAGAAAAGAGACGGGCGAAGGUAGACGACUGAAAGCAUUCCUGUGUGUGUGAGAUAAA